rnacentral:lncRNA from 1 species
GUGAAUGUUGAUGACUGAGAGAGAAGGGAUAAACCAGAGUGUUUUACAGCAACCCAGCAGAACCAAAGGAUCUGCCAAUACUGGCGAAGUCCUUUCUCUGAACCAGACAACAGAAGCUGCUGUCCCAGUUCGUGGUUGCUCCUUCCCACUGGCAAACAGCUGGGGGGGAUCUGCUCUCAGGAGGAGGGAUAUUUUGGAAACUGGAAAACUGCCGCUUGCACCAGAAUGGCAUGCCACUAAUUUCUGCAGCUUUUUUGAAGGGAGCAUUGCCACCCGGCGAGCUCUGUCAGCCUCCUCUAGGAUUCCCCAUAGAAAUCCCCACCCUCCUACAAGAGGAGCCGUGCCCCAGGUACGCCACAUUACCCACAGCCAGCCUUGCCACUCCCAGAGAAAGUUUGUGUUGUGCCUGCUGCAGGUUGGACGUGAAGAAGUGCACAUCCCUCUUUUUUUGCCUUCUUGCUGCAGACUCAUUCAACAAGGCCAUUCAGGACUGAAUUCAUUUCCAGGUCCAUCCUUUUUUGAAGAAACCAUCCCCAUGGAUGUCAGAAAUAUGAAUGAAUUCAGGACUGCAUUUGGGGAAGUCAAGACCUGA